rnacentral:rRNA from 1 species
UACGUAGGAUGCAAGCGUUGUUCGGAAUUACUGGGCGUAAAGAGUACGUAGGCGGUUUGAUAAGUCUGAUAUUAAAGACUGAGGCUUAACCUCAGGAGUGUAUCGGAAACUGUCAGACUAGAGGACAAUAGAGGAAGUCGGAAUUCUCAGUGUAGCGGUGAAAUGCGUAGAUAUUGGGAAGAACACCGGUGGCGAAAGCGGACUUCUGGGUUGUUACUGACGCUGAGGUACGAAAGCGCGGGGAGCAAACGGG